GGUCCCCCUAUGGGGUCUAUGGGGUCGUGGUGUCCCCUAUAGGGUCCGCUAGUCACUCUGCCCCCCCCCUCCCCCCAUAUGCAAACAAUGGGGGAGGGGCCAAGGUCAGGUCUUCAUUGGCUUCACUUUUGCCCGAUUUGGCCCUUUUUUCACCCAAUUUGGGGCCGACUUUCUCCGUUUUCACCACUUCCCGCUCCUCACACGCGUGUGAAUCCAACAUGGCGCCCAGGAUCGUGGACCCGGAGGAGUUCCAACGCUUUCACUAUGCUGCGUGUGUGUGGUUGCACACGCGUGUGCGAGGCGUGUUGGCGCUGACGUCACGGCUGUGGCCCCUCAGACUACGAUUCCCUGCGCAUCGGAGGCCUCAUCUUCG